GACGAACGCUGGCGGCGUGCUUAACACAUGCAAGUCGAACGGAAAGGCCCUGCUUUUGUGGGGUGCUCGAGUGGCGAACGGGUGAGUAACACGUGAGUAACCUGCCCUUGACUUUGGGAUAACUUCAGGAAACUGGGGCUAAUACCGGAUAGGAGCUCCUGCUGCAUGGUGUGGGUUGGAAAGUUUCGGCGGUUGGGGAUGGACUCGCGGCUUAUCAGCUUGUUGGUGGGGUAGUGGCUUACCAAGGCUUUGACGGGUAGCCGGCCUGAGAGGGUGACCGGCCACAUUGGGACUGAGAUACGGCCCAGACUCCUACGGGAGGCAGCAGUGGGGAAUAUUGCACAAUGGGCGGAAGCCUGAGGCAGCAACGCCGCGUGCGGGAUGACGGCCUUCGGGUUGUAAACCGCUUUCGCCUGUGACGAAGCGUGAGUGACGGUAAUGGGUAAAGAAGCACCGGCUAACUACGUG
rnacentral:rRNA from 1 species